UACGGAGGGUGCAAGCGUUAUCCGGAUUCACUGGGUUUAAAGGGUGCGUAGGUGGGUCUGUAAGUCCGUGGUGAAAUCUCCGAGCUUAACUUGGAAACUGCCAUGGAUACUAUAGGUCUUGAAUACUGUGGAGGUUAGCGGAAUAUGUCAUGUAGCGGUGAAAUGCUUAGAUAUGACAUAGAACACCAAUUGCGAAGGCAGCUGGCUACACAAAUAUUGACACUGAUGCACGAAAGCGUGGGGAUCAAACAGG
rnacentral:rRNA from 1 species